rnacentral:snRNA from 1 species
UCGGCCUUUUAGCUAAUUAGCUAAAAUCAUGUCUAGUAUCUGUUCUUAUCAGUUUAAUAUCUGAUAUGUGGGUCAUCAUCGAUCCAUUAUGAUAUUAAAUUAAUUUUUCUUACGAAAU